rnacentral:rRNA from 1 species
UACAGGGGGUGCAAACGUUGCUCGGAAUCAUUGGGCGUAAAGCGCACGUAGGCGGUUCGUUAUGUCGGAUGUGAAAGCCCUUGGCUUAACCGAGGAACUGCCCUCCAAACUGCUUUACUUGAGGCCGGGAGAGGUGAGUGGAAUUCCCAGUGUAGCGGUGAAAUGCGUAGAUAUUGGGAGGAACACCAGUGGCGAAGGCGGCUCACUGGACCGGUUCUGACGCUGAAGCGCGAAAGCGUGGGGAGCAAACGGG